GGGGUUGUGGCUCAGAGGUAGAGCACUCUUCUAGUGGUGUGAGACACUGGGUUCGAUUCUCAGCACCACA
rnacentral:tRNA from 1 species